CCUACGGGAGGCAGCAGUAAGGAAUAUUGGUCAAUGGACGAAAGUCUGAACCAGCCAUGCCGCGUGAAGGAUGACGGCCCUCUGGGUUGUAAACUUCUUUUAUCUGGGACGAAAAAAGGGAAUUCUUUCUCACUUGACGGUACCAGAGGAAUAAGCACCGGCUAACUCCGUGCCAGCAGCCGCGGUAAUACGGAGGGUGCAAGCGUUAUCCGGAUUCACUGGGUUUAAAGGGAGCGUAGGUGGGCAGGUAAGUCAGUGGUGAAAUCUCCGGGCUUAACCCGGAAACUGCCAUUGAUACUAUUUGUCUUGAAUUAUCUGGAGGUAAGCGGAAUAUGUCAUGUAGCGGUGAAAUGCUUAGAUAUGACAUAGAACACCCAUUGCGAAGGCAGCUUACUACGGAUAUAUUGACACUGAGGCUCGAAAGCGUGGGGAUCAAACAGGAUUAGAUACCCUGGUAGUCCACGCCCUAAACGAUGGAUACUCGACAUCAGCGAUACACUGUUGGUGUCUGAGCGAAAGCAUUAAGUAUCCCACCUGGGAAGUACGACCGCAAGGUUGAAACGUCAAAUGAAUUGACGG
rnacentral:rRNA from 1 species